rfam:Populus trichocarpa isolate Nisqually-1 chromosome 12, whole genome shotgun sequence.
UAAUCCUUUUGGGAUAAAUCCUUAUCUAAUUAUAGCAGACCCACACCUAACUACUUAAAAUUACUUGUGAGAACUACUGUGUGAAUAAUAACUUCUUAAGAUUUUAAUUGGAUU